AAUCGUUGAGAUCUGUGUUGUAUUUUUAGCUCUAUAAUGUUAAUCACAUGUUAGUUUAAGCUUGAUGAUAAUAAUAAUAAUUUUUAAAAAGAAAACCUCAGUGAAAAGUAUUAGAAAUAAAUAAAAAUUUUAUCUAGGAAAUUAUGUAGAAGUGGAAAAUGGCGUGCCAGCAGCCGCGGUUAUACUCCUUCUUCAAGUUAAAAAUCAUAUACAAAAUUUUGUUUUACAAUUUUAAGGAAUUUUUUAAUUUUUUUAAGGUAGAAUUUUAAAUUUUUGGGAAAAACACUAAAGUAAAACGUGAAAUUUAUAUUAUGGACCAGGAUUAGAUACCCUGUUACUUAUAGCUAAGAAAUUUUGGAAUAGUAAUAAUUAUAAAAUUUAUCAGAUUUGGCGGCAAGAUAGCCUUUUAGAGGAACCUGCCCUGUAAACGAUGAACCACGAAAUACCUUGCUUUUAUUUGUUAUCAGUUUGUAUACCGCUGUUGUCAGUUAGUUUUUCUAAAAAACUUUCUUUAUGAUAAAGUCAUUUACUUCAAGUAAAGGUGCAGCUUAUGUAAAAGAUAGAGGUGGGUUACAUUUAUGAGAAUAAAACGAACAAUAUUUCUGAAAAUAAUUUUGAAGGCGGAUUUAAUUGUAAAGUUUAAAAAAACUUGAUUUGAGCUCUAUCUUGUGUACACACCGCCCGUCGCUCUAUUUUUUAAAAUAGAUAAGUCGUAACAAGGUAAGUGUAAUGGAAAUUGUACUUGA
rnacentral:ncRNA from 1 species